UACAGAGGGGGCAAGCGUUAUUCGGAAUUAUUGGGCGUAAAGGGCGCGUAGGCGGCCUGGCAAGUGGAAGGUGAAAUCCCUCGGCUUAACCGAGGAACUGCCCUCCAAACUGCUUGGCUUGAGUCCGGGAGAGGUGAGUGGAAUUCCCAGUGUAGCGGUGAAAUGCGUAGAUAUGCGGAGGAACACCGAUGGCGAAGGCAAUCCCCUGGACCUGUACUGACGCUCAUGCACGAAAGCGUGGGGAGCAAACAGG
rnacentral:rRNA from 1 species